rnacentral:lncRNA from 1 species
GCUGUGGAAGCUGACAUCAGGAAAAACUCCCAGAAGAACUCGAAGAACAGACCAAAUCCCAGCCCACAGAAAUUUGGAUUUGGAUUGCAUUGAAUCUAUGAGUCAAGUUGGGGAUUAUUGAAGUUUUUAAAAUUUUGAGUCUUCCAAUCCAUGAAGAUGUUGUAUCUCUCCAUUGUUAAG